UAAAUAUUAGUUUAGAAAUACAGAUCGACUAAUUAUAAAGGCAGAAGAUGUAAAGAGUAAAACCAUUUCCGUCAAAUUACAAUAACGCGGAGAGGAAAGGAAACACACAAAAAGAUGAUGCGAAUAGCAGUGUGUCAUAUGAAUCUCAAUUUUUGAACAAGAAAAUGAAUUUGGGGAUUUGAAUGAACAAAGUGAAGAUAUUGCUGAAAAUUAUGACAAGCACCAAGAGUUAACCACCAAAA